rnacentral:rRNA from 1 species
CCCUUAGAUGUUCUGGGCCGCACGCGCGCUACACUGAUACGUUCAACAAGUUUAGAACCUUGACUGAGAGGUCUGGGUAAUCUUUUGAAUGCGUAUCGUGUUAGGGAUAGAUUAUUGCAAUUAUUAAUCUUGAACGAGGAAUUCCUAGUAAACGCAAGUCAUCAGCUUGCAUUGAUUACGUCCCUGCCCUUUGUACACACCGCCCGUCGCACCUACCGAUUGGAUGGUCCGGUGAAGCCUCGGGAUUGUGGUUCUUGCCGCUUUAUUGUGGCGUGACCGCGAGAACUUGUCUAAACCUUAUCAUCUAGAGGAAGGUGAAGUCGUAACA